UCAAAUUGAGAAGAGCACGAGGCGGAUGCCUUGGCACAUGACGCCGAUGAAGGACGCGAGCAGGCGAUAACGACGGUGAGCUGCAAAAAGCUUUGACCCGUCGGUUUCCGAAUGGAGCAAUCCGGCAGGAGAAGAUCCUGUCAUCCUAACGCCAAUCCAUAACGUUAGGAGGGGAGACCCGGAGAACUGAAACAUCUCAGUACCCGGAGGAAAAGAAAGAAAACUCGAUUCCCUCAGUAGCGGCGAGCGAACGGGGAACAGGCCAACAGUGAAUCACGAUUCUGAAAUCUAGCGGAAGUUUCUGGAAAGGAACACCAAAGACGGUGACAGUCCGGUACGCGAAAGAAGAAGGAAUCAUCACGAAAGAGUACCAUCGAACACGAGAAAUUUGGUGGGAACAUGGGAGGACCACCUCCUAAGCCUAAAUACGAUCAUGUGACCGAUAGUGAACUAGUACCGUGAGGGAAAGGUGAAAAGAACCCCGGAAGGGGAGUGAAAAGAAUCUGAAACCUUGUGCUUACAAGCAGAUAGAGCCCAUUUAUGGGUGAUAUCGUACUUUUUGUAGAACGGGCCAGCGAGUUAUGUUUACAAGCGAGGUUAAGCCUUUUAGGGGCGGAGCCGGAGGGAAACCGAGUGUGAAUAGCGCGACAGUUUGUGGACAUAGACCCGAAACCGGGUGAUCUAGCCAUGAGCAGGUUGAAGUUGAAGUAAAAUUCAAUGGAGGACCGAACCGGGAGCGGUUUAAAACGCUUCGGAUGACUUGUGGUUAGGGGUGAAAAGCCAAUCGAACUCGGAGAUAGCUGGUUCUCCUCGAAAUCGCUUUAGGGCAAGCCUCAUUGAGAGAUGGAGGGAGGUAGAGCACUGACUGGUCGCAGGGCACUCUGUGUUACUAACACCUAUCAAACUUCGAAUUCCGUUCAUUACCAAUGGGAGUGAGACGAUGUGGGAUAAGCUUCAUCGUCAAAAGGGAAACAGCCCAGAUCAUCAGCUAAGGUCCCAAAAUGACGUUCAGUGGAAAAGGAUGUUAUUUUACUUGGACAACCAGGAUGUUGGCUUAGAAGCAGCCAUACAUUUAAAGAGUGCGUAAUAGCUCACUGGUCGAGUGAAGUUGCGCCGAAGAUACACGGGGCUAAACGUCAUACCGAAGCUAUGGGAUGGAUCGAGACGAAAAGUAUUUUAUGAAAGCUUUCCAAAAAUUGAUGAGAAAUAUCGCACACAAAGAGUCAAAUUUCAACAAACAUGAGAUACGACAGAAAAAAGCCAAAUGGUAUAAGGUUAUUCCAAGAUAUCAUUCAUCAAUUUCAUUGGGCUAAUAAAGGAAGGCGUAUUCAUAGAAUACUUUUUGUCUCGACCAUCGGUAGAGGAGCAUCGACUACACAUUGAAGCAUCAAGGGUAACCUAUUGUGGAGCGUAGUCGAGAGAGAAUGCUGGCAUGAGUAGCGAGAAGGUGAGUGAGAAUCUCACCCGUCGAAAGCCGAAGGGUUCCUGAGCAAGGCUCGUCCUCUCAGGGUAAGUCGGGACCUAAGCUGAGGCCGAAAGGCGUAGGCGAUGGACAACCGGUGGAAAUUCCGGUACAGUAAAGAAUCGUUUGAGAGAAGUGUUGACGCAGGAAGCUACGCAAAGCGCGUUGAAGGUAUGCGCGUCCAACGAAGUAGGCUAGUCCGGCAGGCAAAUCCGUCGGAUGGUGCUGAGUUCGGAUGGGGAUCGAAAUUUAAGUAGAGAAGUUGCCGAUGCUACACUGCCAAGAAAAGACGCUAUCGAGAUUUUUUGCUCCCGUACCAAAACCGACACAGGUAGGCAGGAAGAAAAUUCUAAGACGCGCGGAAGAACCUUUGUUAAGGAACUCGGCAAAAUGACCCCGUAACUUCGGGAGAAGGGGUGCCAUCUUCGGAUGGCCGCAGAGAAUCGGCCCAAGCGACUGUUUACCAAAAACACAAGUAUCUGCGAAGCCGCAAGGCGAAGUAUAGGUGCUGACACCUGCCCGGUGCUGGAAGGUCAAGGGGAGUUGUUAGAAGCAAUUCGAAGCGACGAACUUAAGCCCCAGUAAACGGCGGCCGUAACUAUAACGGUCCUAAGGUAGCGAAAUUCCUUGUCGGGUAAGUUCCGACCCGCACGAAAGGUGUAAC
rnacentral:rRNA from 1 species